UUGCAAAUUCGAUCACUGGCUCUGCAUGAUGUUGCAGAAGCAAGGGGAACAGAUUUGCUAAAACAAAAAUGGUAACAGAACCAUGCCUGCCUUAGAGAAAAAAAAACAUUACCAAGGCUACUCAUUCUGUGCUAUAACAAAA
ensembl:snoRNA SNORA66 Small nucleolar RNA SNORA66